CUGAGAUCCUGUUUAUAUUCAAGUCCACAAAUUUGACGACACAAUACAGGAAAAGCUCUUUGUAUUUAGUGUGUCAUCGAAGACCGCGCCAUUUUGAACAGUAUGGGAUUCUAUAGCUUGGUUCGGGAGUGUUACAAAGACCAUGAUGGACUGUGGAAGCGGCCCUUAAUGUUCCCUUUUCUAAUAUGCCUCUCUGUUUUUGCAGGAUGCCGCGGACGGACCAUGCAGAGGACUCAUCGCGACGACACCAACGGUUUGGUUAAGUGGGUUCUCUUGUGUGUGCGUCUGUGUGUGAAUGGCAGGCCUGUCGUAUGAUUGUGUGUGUGUGUGCGUUGGCGUUAUGCCUUCGCACUAUUAUUUUGUUAGGAUGUAUUUUUUUGUGUGUGAACUUUUUGCACGUAAUCUUUUUUUAUACCCAUAGCUAGCGUUUGUUUGUGUGGCAGUGUUCCGGGAGAUGGACGCCGGGGGACAUGGGCUUGGGGAGGCGCACAUGACCUCCUCUGUCCGUGACCUCUUCAGCUGGGGAGACCGUGUGUUGCCCCGCCUGGAGAGACACGUUGAUGGAGGUGGCCGUGUGUGUCACCCUUUGCCUGUAUCCUCUGGCGUCCAGAGGCGCGUAAGUGGAGAGCAUCGGCGCAGCGCGGGAGCAUCACGUCAGGGUGUAGGGUGUUUGUUUAGCUGGUGUAGGGAGCUUAGGGUGUUAGGGUGUUAGGUGUAACAACGGUUGGCUCUUUCACAGAACGGGUGUGAUUCCGUUCUGCGUUUGAGUCUUCCACCUUCAGACGGUCUCCCUCUGAGAUGUCUGAAGUUUUUUUGUCGGUUUUCUCCGUAGGAGGAAGCCGACUCUAGCUACUCUGGCCUCUCUUCCGGGGGUCAGAGCGGUCGGGCUCUGCUUGGCCAGGCGUUGCCUUUCGCGUUGUCUCCGCCGACGUUUUGCCAGACUCUUCCGUACGGUUGAGCCUGGCUUUUUUAUUAGGUGGAUCAGGCUGCCUUCUUCCAAGGAGUCUGAUGGGAGUGGAGUCUUUUUUUUGGUGUAUGUCUGUGGGUACUUAGUGGGUAAGGGAGGGUGGGGUAGAAUGGUUGGUGGGCUGGAAGUGGGUUGGGGGAUGAGCCUCCUGGGAUUUGGGUUGUGUCGAGCCUUACCGCCUGGUGUGUUGGGUAACCUUCACGCCAGGGGGGGGGUGCCAAGACUAUAUCCAUCUCCUGGGCAGGGCGAUUCCCCUUUCCCAUGCUAACUGGCCCUCCUCCGUCUGCCUCCCCAAACCCCCGCUAAGUGCUUGUGUGUGUUAUUUUAUUUAGGAUGUCUUUUUUUUCUAUGCCUUUUUCCCGUGUGUUUAUACCCAAUAGCUAGCGUGUGUGUGUGUGUGUGGCAGUCCGGAGGCGCGUGCAGCGAGGACAUCACAUCACGUCACUACGGUAUAUCCACGGUAUUUGGUUUAGUGUGUGCUGUGUGUGUUUGUGUGUGUGAUGGCAGGCCUGCCGUGUGUUUGACCUUUUGCUGUGUGUUGCUGUGUGACUGCUAGGAUUUCAUUUCUAUGCAUGUUUUUUUCCCCAUAACCCCCUUCCUCCCUAGCUCUUUAGCUGUUGGCGCUGGGUGGAUGCUGCCGGGUGACCAACGGCGGUGGCGGUGUGCAACGCGGGAGCUGCUGAGGUUUGGGGUAGCACUACGGUGCAGGUUAUGUAGGGUGUGUGAGUUUUUUUUUUGUGUGAGUGUCUUUUUUUUGUGUGGGGUGUUGGCGGGGGACUUAGCUAAUCACUGUGUCAGGAAGGCAUGGGCGUGGCCGUCUGUCCAUCAGGCCGACGGGCGGGUGUGCCACCUGGCAGUCAGGCUAGCAGGUGACAGGCAAGCUAUUUGGUGGUCAGGCUGUCAGUCGGGCCAUCAGAUAGGUAGGCAGGCCACCUUGCGGUCGGGUUGUCGGGCGGGCACCCCACCCUCGGUCAGGUAGGCAGGCAGCAGCGUCUACGCUGAGCCGUACGGCUACACGUACGAACGCACGGAACCCGUACGCUACGUUCCGCUGCACUGACGCUCGUCGUACCUCUGCUCGCACGCUUGCGGGCGGGUUGGGGGCGGGGGGCGGAUGGGCGGACGGGCGGGCGUACGUGGGAACGGGCGGGCGGACGGGUGGUCGGGCGGUUAGGGAGUCGGAGCAACGCUUGAAAGACGCGCAGAUAGAUGUCAGAUUCUCCCGUAGGGAGGUCUGGCAAGGUGAUAGUUUAGGCGGCGGAGUUGUACGCGGGCCAGUCUGUGUUACAGCUUUGCCGUCAGGGUAGCUCCUUACGAGCUGCCCAAACUGAGGACCAGUUUUCCUCACAGGAGGAGGCUGGUGGGGCCUAGGGUGUUAGGGGUACAACGGUUGGCUCUUUCACAGAACGGGUGUUUUCCGUUCUGCGUUUGAGUCUGCCGCCUUUGGGCGUCUCCCUCUGAGAUGUCGGUUAGGAUUUCUUUUUUUUAUAUGUCCGUGUGUGUAACUGUUGCCUUUUAGCCUGUUGUGUUCCUGAGCAGCAAGAAGAGGCGGCUGUGGUGACCCGCCCGAUGCGGAAGGCUUCUGGGCCCUGUCGGCGGGGGCGCACCUCUCUGGCUGACUGGUUGACCAGGCUUUGACCAGGUGGCUAGGGAGGCGCAUCCUCGCUGGGCGGGGUCUGGGGGCCCUCCGUCUUGGGGAGGUCGCUGCAGCAGGAGGAGGUAACUACUGCUGGUUUUGUAAGGCAUUGUGGUUGAGAGCACCUUGCAGCUGUAACGCGAAUUUCGUUCCGUAAUAAACAAUGUACCGCCAUGCUGCCUGUCCUUCCUCCCUCCCAGCACUGUGUACGUCUGUGUGUGUGUGUGUGUUGCUUAAUUCUCCCUCACUGCACUGUGCGUACGUCUGUGUGUGUGUGUUGCUCUGUCUCUGUCUCUCUAUCUCUGUCUCUGUCUGUCUCUCUAUCUCUCAAUCUCUCUCUGUGUCUUUCUCUCUCUCUCUCUCUCUAGUUAGUAAAGAACAGGCAACGUUUGCCAUGGAAGACUCUACAGUAUACAUAAGACUACAGUGUACAUCCCAACCCUCUACGGCCGUUGCUGCUCCACCCGGGCAUUACCACAUCCACCCGGGUCUACAAGAAACCUCCACGGCCGAGCCUCAACCACAGAACACACCGCUACCGUUGAUGAGGUUCCACACCCCGGACUACCGCCAUGUUAGCCUCGAUAAUAGUCCUCGGCGCACUUAUUCUGAGACGUCCUGACUGGAGAGCUACACAACACUGGUCAUCCGCUGAGUGGUUGAAUUCCUGGUCUACCGGCCCCUGGAGGAGUGGUCGAUUGCCUGGUCUACCGUGGAUAUGAGUGGUUGAUUCCCUGGUCUACCCCUGGAUGACGCAGCUGUUCCUAUGCAGGGGAAGACUCACACAAGCGAUAAGCACCUGUCAGACCUGGAGACUCCCCCCUGAGCCUGACGGUGGAGCUGUGGGCCCUGCACCAGACCCCCACACCCCCCCACACCACCCACAGCAGGGGCAGGGCGUUGAGACUACCCCCACAGGCUAAGACAGGGAGGGACUUGAAGAUCCAGGUUUUUGUCAUCUGCACAGAA